AAAAGUGUUAAAUUAAGAGGUAACCUGGUUCGACGAAAGGGAGACUAAUCGAUCGAGAUCAUCCUGAGCCUGAGGAGACGUUUUUUCAUGAUCACAGCCAUGAAAACACAUUCUAGCUUUGUCUCUCUCAUCGUUGUCCUCUUUCCCGCUGUCGCAUCCUUGGCCGUCUUGGUGCUCUGCUUGGCCGUCGGUGAAAGCGUUUCGGUGGCCCGUCGUUGGCCGGAUUUGAAAUCGUUUGGAUUGAGUGAAUAUGAGUCACAACAGAGGAUGGAGAUCAAUUACGAAACGAGAUCAAUCUUACGGAGAAGAGAUAAUGAAAGAGGGAAGAAUUCUUUUGUUAUGGUUCCGAAGAAGAAGAGAAGAGAGAAAGAGUGAAUUUUGAUGUCUCAAGGAAGAAGAGAGAAUGAGUGAUGUUGGAGGUUAGCAUUCUCUCAGGCGUUUAUUUAUAAGCAUUAGCUUCUUCCAAAAAAAGGAAACUUUCGAUUGUUUCCUUUUUUCGAUGAGUUUUGUUAUUUCCUUUUUUUUUUGUAAACUUUAGAUUGUUUCCUUUUUACAAUAUUGGGCUCCAACAGGAUCAAUACCCGAUUUGAGAACAAGAAGAAGAAGCAAGUUUUGCCUUCUUUGAAGCCUCUACUAUUUGAGAUAGUCUAUCUCUGGAAUUAUGUUCCUCCUAAUGCAGAACCUGUCUAUCUCUGGAAUUAUCUUAUACGAGAUUGUGUUUAUUUCGUGGUCUAGCCCCUGUUUUGAAGAACCCAUCUUGUUUAGAGUGUUUGUGUUUGGUUCUCUUCUUCUCUUGAUCUAUGUUCAUGUAAUCACAAAUGUAUGCUGUUUGGUUAGUCGGAAACAGAGUAAGAAGACAUCAGACAAUUGACAUUUCGAAUACAGAGAGGUAAAUCAUCUUUUUUAAACUUGAAAACCAAAGUAGGACUAGUAAUUUGCACAAAAUUACUCUCAGAAUCAGUAGUAAACAACAAAAACUCUUUAACCUAACUAUAUUUUUUUUUUUUCUCUCCACAAGAACAUAUUCAACCGCCUAUACAAGACAAUAUUCAAACACAGACAAACCACAUGGGUUUUGCAAACCUUCGAAUU
rnacentral:lncRNA from 1 species